UGAAAAUCCUAAUUCCAAAAUCUCCUCAAAUCGAUCUUCAUCAAUCUCUUGAGUAAUCGUUCAAUAUCUUCGAUUAAGCUUUAAAAACUAGAACCUUAUUCAUUCUUUGCCUUUAAUUUUGCUUCGUUCAUCUGUCGUUAGUCAUUAGUGUGGAAGAUAUAGAUAUCGGUCGGAGUGGGUUUGAAGACAAAUAACAGAAGAAAUUUUAUUAAGAGAGAUUGUUCAUAUGAGUGGCUCUAUUAUUAUUGUUUUUCACCACGGGAUAGGGUUAUUCAAAGACAAUAUGUUGGGGAGUUGGAAAGGGUUAUCAUUACUAUAGAUAAAGAUCAUUUCUCUCAGACCGAGAUAAAAUGUUACACUAAGGAUAUUGGGUAUGAUAAAGUUGAAGGCUAUUAUGUCAAAGACCCUACCAAUAUUCAAUUUGUUGCAUUAGAAACUGAGUCAACUAUAUAAUAUUGUUAAAGACUUACGUACUAGGUCCAUUAUUGACUUGUAUGUGAAACAUGUCAUGGUUGAAGAAGGGUCCCUGCUGGGAGUGUUAUAGGUCCACUGAUUGGUGACAUGGACCAAGAAAUAAUUAAUAUAGAAAGUGGGGUUAAUUCUAGGGCAACACAGAUUGAGGGUGCUAUAAAUGUGACCUUAAGUGAGGCAGUUGGGGUUGAGGGGGAGGUAGAACAACCUCUUAAUGAUGAAAAUAGUAGUGAUAAUGAAGAUUUUUAAGAAGAUAACUUAGAGAAUAUUCCUGAUGAAGAUGACAGUGGAUGAAGAAUUGAGGGCUUUUAGAUAGGCUGCUAGAAAAGAAAAGAUAAGUGAAAGAAAGACCAAAAAAUAUAGAAAAGCCAAUGUCAUUCAAGAAGUGGAGCUUGAAGACAUUAGAUAUAAGAUAAUGAAUAAACAUAGGGAUAUGAUCAAAUUUGCUGAAAUUUGGAUCAGUGACAUUUCACCCAUGGCAAGAUUAGUUUUAGAUGAAAAUAAAAAGUUGGCAGGAGAUUAAAAGUUAUGUGGAAUGCUGAUACUGGCUUUGAAACUAAGGAAGGGGGAUAUAGAUUCAUUGUUGACAUAGUUAGGAAAACAUGUAGUUGCAGACCGUGGCAAUUGAGGGGUAUCCUUUGUGCUCAUUUAGUUUGUGCAUUAUCUCAUAUUGGGGAAGAUCCAGAAGAUUAUGUUGAGCAUUGGUAUAGAAAAGAUACAUACUUGAAUGCUUACAAGUACUUCAUUCAACCAAUCCCCAACAUGAAGAUAUGGCCUCAAACAAAUAACCCACCAGUCGAGCCACCUUAAGUUAAACCAAUGCCUGGUAGACCCAAGAGAUGUAGGAGAAAUGACAAAGAUGAACCAAGAAAAAAGAAAUGGGAAAAAGUCUCAAAGGAAGGAGCCAAGAUGACAUGUUCUAACUGCCACCAAAUUGGCCACAACAAAAAAAGCCUCAAGAAAGACCAAGAACAACAACUGAAGCAACACCAAACAGUCAACCUGCUACUCAACAAUCUAGUACCACUACUGAGAGAGGCAGAGGGAGAGGACUAGAAAUAGGAGUUGGCAGAGGAAAGGGAAGGGGAACUGGAAUAGGAAGGGGAAGGGGCUGGUUCUGAUUCAAUAAGUACAGCAACCAGUGCACCUACUGGAUUUGCUACUAAAUCUGUUUCUGCUGCUGUUGGAAAAAAAAAUAAGAGAACUGGGAUUUCACAUUUACACAGACACACAAUCUGGAAGACAAGUUCUUAAUCCCGGAACACUAAGUGAAAGAGCCAUCUCUAGUGGGAGACAAUUAAAGAAUGCAUCACUUAUCAAUAUUGAUCUUGGAUUCAAGCCACCUGAAUUGAAAUGGAAGGAAAAAUCUGCUAUUACUGGAAACCAACUUCAACAACAAAAAGAGAUGCAAAUGAAGAAGAAAAAGUCUCAUUAGAAAAGUUUCACUUUAUGUAGUUUGUUCAAGUGUUUUGUCUAAUUUGAUUUUCAUGAACCUAAAACUGCAGUUUUAGUUAUUUGCUAUUAAAGAAAUAUUUCAGAUAUAUGUUUGACAUUUUAUUUUGUAACUAUUG